AUUUCGAAAUGUCCGCUUCAACCGCAGUUUAACCUCCCAAAAAGCAAAGUUGGCUUGACGAGCACAGAUGCGAGGAAGCGGGAGCAAUUAAACAAAAAAUAUCUUUCUUGUCCUUCUACUUAAGGGGCAAAGAGAAGUGCUUUUGCUACUGAGAAAGCGAACGUGCGAAGGUUCAAGACUUAGCCGAGCGUUAGCGAAGCUAGAUUCG
rnacentral:lncRNA from 1 species